rfam:Pantoea sp. At-9b, complete genome.
GCAAUGGGUCACUAGGGUUCCGAUCGCGAGAUGCUGGUCCGAGAGUGACCGACCGUCCUCUGACGGUUACACGGCGGGAUAAAAGCCCGGGAGGA